CCAAACCCCAUGCCGGUCCUGUUUUCUCACAGGGACGGGACUGGACAAGUGGAUGACCGGGAUGUCUCCCAUCUUGUAGGGACUUAAAACCUUGGUUUUGAUUAAUUUUGGCAGCCACCCUCCUUAAAAAAAAAAUCUAUAGUUCUUAUUCUAAAAAUUCAGGCUAGGGUUUCUGCCCGAACACACUCAAAUGGGCUUUUGGGCUAGUUCGUGGAAUGGGCCUCAGCCUAUAGAAAGGCCGCCUUCCAAGUUCUUGAAGAGUAUGUGAACAUUGAUUACAAUUCACCAUUGAGUACAAAAAUAACAUGCUUCUUUUUUAUAUAAAAUUGUAUAAUGUCCUAUAAAUCUAAUUGAAUAUUCACAUAACCUCCAGAAUAUGAAAAAGAUAUGCCCAAAUUCAAGAUGUUAGUCAUUUCUACUCAAAUUUUUUUUAACUUAAUAAAGUUUUGAACAAUUGAAGUUCAGUGACAGAGAGAUAGAGAGAGAGAGAGAGAGACUAUUGUUAGGAUAGUUAAAUGAGUUUUUCUUA
rnacentral:lncRNA from 1 species